GAUCCUGGCUCAGGAUGAACGCUAGCUACAGGCUUAACACAUGCAAGUCGAGGGGCAGCAUUUUUAUAGCAAUAUAAAAGAUGGCGACCGGCGCACGGGUGAGUAACACGUAUCCAACCUGCCGAUAACUCGGGGAUAACCCUUCGAAAGAAGGCCUAAUACCCGAUGGCAUAUCCCCUCCGCCUGGUGGGGAUAUUAAAGAGCUUCGGUUAUCGAUGGGGAUGCGUUCCAUUAGCUUGUUGGCGGGGUAACGG
rnacentral:rRNA from 1 species